UCCUCACGACCCGUUCUUAUCUGAAAAUAUUGUAAGAGUGAGUAUUUUGAAAACACUCAGUAAGAAUACGUGCACAUCCUUUUUCACAUGAUAUAAAUAUAAAAAAAAAUAGCAUAACAUACCAACAUUUCUUAGGAAUUUCUUAAGAAUCCCCAUAUCCCGUAGGAUUUAAUUUCUUUUCUUUGACCUGACGGUCUAUCCCGAAGGAUUUAACUUCUUCUCUCUGACC
rnacentral:lncRNA from 1 species